rnacentral:rRNA from 1 species
AUUGAACGCUGGCGGCAUGCUUUACACAUGCAAGUCGAACGGUAACAGGCCGCAAGGUGCUGACGAGUGGCGAACGGGUGAGUAAUGCAUCGGAACGUGCCCAGUCGUGGGGGAUAACUACUCGAAAGAGUAGCUAAUACCGCAUACGAUCUAUGGAUGAAAGCGGGGGACCGUAAGGCCUCGCGCGAUUGGAGCGGCCGAUGUCAGAUUAGGUAGUUGGUGGGGUAAAGGCUCACCAAGCCAACGAUCUGUAGCUGUUCUGAGAGGACGACCAGCCACACUGGGACUGAGACACGGCCCAGACUCCUACGGGAGGCAGCAGUGGGGAAUUUUGGACAAUGGGCGAAAGCCUGAUCCAGCAAUGCCGCGUGCAGGAAGAAGGACUUCGGGUUGUAAACUGCUUUUGUACGGAACGAAAAGGCUCUGGUUAAUACCCGGGGCUAAUGACGGUACCGAAAGAAUAAGCACCGGCUAACUACGUG